CUUGCGUCGUAGAGAAUAACAAGGUUCCCCUAGAGCGGCGCAGGAGAGGGAUGAGCCCAUCUCCGAACCGGCGUGGGGUGCAAACUCGUUCAAAGGCGCCGGAGUGUGGAGUGUGGGGGUCGGGCUUCGCUACCCGUGGCAGGCUCGUUUGCCGUGCGCAAGUCCCCUCGAAAGGGCCAUGCGGUAGAGGUGCCAGGCCCGUAGACGGUGGCGGCUUGUCUGGGGACCCGUAGAGUCGGGUUGCUUGAGAUUGCAGCCCAAAGCGGGUGGUAAACUCCACCUAAGGCUAAAUACGACCACGAGACCGAUAGCGAACAAGUACCGCGAGGGAAAGUUGAAAAGAACUUUGGAGAGAGAGUUCAAGAGGGCGUGAAACCGCUCGGGUGAAAAACGGGUGGAACCUCGAAGGGCGACGGGGGGAGUCAGACCUCCGAACGGCGCUGUCGCGCGUACGCGGAUGGCCUGUGAUGGCGGCGGCCUCUUUGGGGUUGCUUUCGUCCGGGCCUCCCUGCGUGUGGCUUAGCUGCUGGGCGGGGAGCUCGCACUUCCUCCCGGGUAGGACGCCGCAGCCGGUUGGGGUUGUUUGUUGGUGGUCGAAGGCCUGGGAGCCAGUAGGGUUCGCCUCUCGGGGCGGAUCUCUCUCCCGGUGUGUUCCGGACCAUCCCCCGACCGAGCCGUGGGUGCGGGGUGGCCGUUGCCUCUGCUGUCGUGCCGGACAGGGUCGUCCUGGGAUUCCGUCGAGAGACGUGCUUUCCAGGCGGUCCCGGUCGCCGGGCUGGCGUCGUGCGGUUGGCGGCCCCCUUGGGCGGCGAGUUCGAUCGGUGGUCCACCCGCCCCGUCUUGGAAACCCGGACCAAGGAGUCUAACAUGUGCGCGAGUCUGUGGGUCGUGAGAGAAACCCACGGGCGGAGCGAAAGCGAAGUCCCGCGGCCUCGGUCGCGGGCGAGGGGAGAUCCUGGCGGCGCGGGCCCAUCUAUCCCGCCCCUGGUGGGAGGGCCCGUCGCUCGCAGGCGCAUCCUCGGGGCGUGCCGAAUCCGAUGGAGGAUGAGGGCGCACCUGGAGCGCACACGUUGGGACCCGAAAGAUGGUGAUCUAUGCCUGGUCAGGGCGAAGCCGGGGAAAACUCGGUGGAGGCCCGCAGCGGUUCUGACGUGCAAAUCGAUCGUCAGAGCUGGGUAUAGGGGCGAAAGACCAAACGAACCAUCUAGUAGCUGGUUCCCUCCGAAGUUUCCCUCAGGAUAGCUGGCGCUCGGAGGGUGAAGGAGUCUCAUCUGGUAAAGCGACUGAUUGGAGGAACCCGGGUCGCUGGGACCUGGACCUACUCUCAAACUUUGAAUGGGUGAGAGGCCGGGCAUGCUUGAGUUUUGAAGCCCGAGCUUGGAUCAGAGUGCCUAGUGGGCCACUUUUGGUAAGCAGAACUGGCGCUGUGGGAUGAACCAAACGCCGGGUUAAGGCGCCCGAAUCGCCGCUCAUGAGAUCCCAUGAAAGGCGUCGGCGGCUAAAGACAGCAGGACGGUGGCCAUGGAAGUCGGCAUCCGCCAAGGAGUGUGUAACGACUCACCUGCCGAAGCCACCGGCCCUGAAAAUGGAUGGCGCUAAAGCGGCGUGCCCAUACCCGGCCGUUGGGGCAGAGCUUGUCCCCCUCCAAGGGUUGGAGAGAGAUUGAAGACCCGAAGGAGGGCGGUGGUUGUGCGCGCGUGUGUGUGUGCGAGAGCCACCUCGCCUCGGGGGAGAGAGAGAGAGAGGAGAACACCGAGGGCGAGGGGGGCACUUAGGUCCCCAACGAGUAGGAGGGCGCGGCGGUGGCGCUGAAGGGUCUGGGCGCGAGCCUGCCUGGAGCCGCCGUCGGUGCAGAUCUUGGUGGUAGUAGCAAAGAAUCCGGCGAGACCCCGGAGGACCGAUGUGGAGUAGGGUUUCGUGGCGCCGGCAAUCGGCCACGAGUGAGUCGAUCCUAAGCCUGGUGGUAACUCUUUGCAGUGGAGGGGGUAGUUUGGUUGCAGCCAAGCAGUGGCCGUCCCUUCCUGACAGGCGAAAGGGAAGCCGGUGCAGAUUCCGGCACCCGGUCGCGGGCUCGUCCACAGUAGGUUCCCCUUCGGGGGUCCUACGGGGUGACCCAAAGAGACUCGGUGACACCGUCACAGCCGCUGGGAAGAGUUGUCUUUUCUGCCUGAGCCUCGAAAUCCCUGAAAGGCGGUUGCCGCGCGAAAGGGACGACGUGGCGAAGAGCGCCCCGCAUGGCCGUUGGCGCCGGGGCGUCCGGCGGGCUGUGGCGGUCCUUGAAAAGCCGAGUGAGGACGACGAAGAGCGUCGCGCCGGAUCGUACCCAAUUUCCGCAGCAGGUCUCCGAGGUUCGCAGCCUCUGGUCCCUAGAGCAAUGUAGGUAAGGGAAGUCGGCAAAGUGGAUCCGUAACUUCGGGAGAAGGAUUGGCUCUAGAGGGUCGCGACGGUCGGGCGCGGGGCAGAAGCGGGAGUAGUCCGGAAGGCUGGCCUCAUGGUUGAG
rnacentral:rRNA from 1 species